UCGCCGGUGACAAACCGGAGGAAGGUGGGGAUGACGUCAAGUCAUCAUGGCCCUUACGGCCUGGGCUACACACGUGCUACAAUGGUCGGUACAAAGGGUUGCCAAGCCGCGAGGUGGAGCUAAUCCCAUAAAACCGAUCGUAGUCCGGAUCGCAGUCUGCAACUCGACUGCGUGAAGUCGGAAUCGCUAGUAAUCGUGAAUCAGAAUGUCACGGUGAAUACGUUCCCGGGCCUU
rnacentral:rRNA from 1 species